UACGUAGGGUGCAAGCGUUACUCGGAAUUACUGGGCGUAAAGCGUGCGCAGGCGGUUAUAUAAGACAGAUGUGAAAUCCCCGGGCUCAACCUGGGAACUGCAUUUGUGACUGUAUAGCUAGAGUACGGUAGAGGGGGAUGGAAUUCCGCGUGUAGCAGUGAAAUGCGUAGAUAUGCGGAGGAACACCGAUGGCGAAGGCAAUCCCCUGGGCCUGCACUGACGCUCAUGCACGAAAGCGUGGGGAGCAAACAGG
rnacentral:rRNA from 1 species